GAUGAACGCUAGCGGCAGGCUUAAUACAUGCAAGUCGAGGGGCAUCAGCUUAUAGCAAUAUAGGGCUGGCGACCGGCAAACGGGUGCGGAACACGUACACAACCUUCCUUUAAGAGGGGGAUAGCCCAUAGAAAUGUGGAUUAAUACCCCGUAAGAUAGUGGGAUGGCAUCAUACUACUAUUAUAGUUACGACGCUUGAAGAUGGGUGUGCGUCUGAUUAGGUAGUUGGCGGGGUAAAGGCCCACCAAGCCUUCGAUCAGUAGCUGAUGUGAGAGCAUGAUCAGCCACACGGGCACUGAGACACGGGCCCG
rnacentral:rRNA from 1 species